rnacentral:rRNA from 1 species
AGCGAGCGCUGGCGGCAGGCUUAACACAUGCAAGUCGAGCGGACCUUUCGGGGUCAGCGGCGGACGGGUGAGUAACGCGUGGGAACGUGCCUUCCGGUUCGGAAUAACCCUGGGAAACUAGGGCUAAUACCGGAUACGCCCUUAUGGGGAAAGGUUUACUGCCGGAAGAUCGGCCCGCGUCUGAUUAGCUAGUUGGUGGGGUAACGGCCUACCAAGGCGACGAUCAGUAGCUGGUCUGAGAGGAUGAUCAGCCACACUGGGACUGAGACACGGCCCAGACUCCUACGGGAGGCAGCAGUGGGGAAUAUUGGACAAUGGGCGCAAGCCUGAUCCAGCCAUGCCGCGUGAGUGAUGAAGGCCUUAGGGUUGUAAAGCUCUUUUAUCCGGGACGAUAAUGACGGUACCGGAGGAAUAAGCCCCGGCUAACUUCGU